rnacentral:rRNA from 1 species
GACGAACGCUGGCGGCGUGCCUAAUACAUGCAAGUCGAACGCUUUUUCUUUCACCGGAGCUUGCUCCACCGAAAGAAAAAGAGUGGCGAACGGGUGAGUAACACGUGGGUAACCUGCCCAUCAGAAGGGGAUAACACUUGGAAACAGGUGCUAAUACCGUAUAACACUAUUUUCCGCAUGGAAGAAAGUUGAAAGGCGCUUUUGCGUCACUGAUGGAUGGACCCGCGGUGCAUUAGCUAGUUGGUGAGGUAACGGCUCACCAAGGCAACGAUGCAUAGCCGACCUGGGAGGGUGAUCGGCCACCCGGGGACUGAGACACGGCCCAGACUCCUACGGGAGGCAGCAGUAGGGAAUCUUCGGCAAUGGACGAAAGUCUGACCGAGCAACGCCGCGUGAGUGAAGAAGGUUUUCGGAUCGUAAAACUCUGUUGUUAGAGAAGAACAAGGAUGAGAGUAGAACGUUCAUCCCUUGACGGUAUCUAACCAGAAAGCCACGGCUAACUACGUGCCAGCAGCCGCAGUAA